UCAGAUGAGGUCUUGUUACAAGCCUCAGGAAGUGGGAUAUGUCACUAGGACUUAGCAGCAGCAAUGUCAAUAUUUGCAGCAGUGAUUUGAGUUGGUGUGAAUUCACUCCAGUCUAGCAGAACUAAAAGCAAAAAGUGGACUUCUUGGAGGUGCUGUGCCUCGUGAUACCUCUGACUGCUAAAAGUACACUGGAUCCAAGAUGACUUGUGGAUGAGUUAGAAAUUAUGAAAGUUUUUAUCACCUUGAUGGAAGAGCGAUAUCAAGGCUGACAAGUGUUUUGGCUGUGAUCAUCAAUGCAAGAGGAAGGAAUGUCUACCAACAGAUUGCAUCCCCCAGUGCUAACUGUACCUCUUGGCUUCACGUUGCACUUUGGGCUCGAGGGGACUUUGGACCUGUGUGUGACAGUCCUACUGCUUGCUGCUCCUCUGGGAGUCUGCUGGAAGAGUGCUUUAACUGCAGUUUGAAAUGGCAAUCCACUCAAAAAUCGUUCCUGAGAAAGACUGAAAGUGGCUUUUCUCAUGAUAUUUGUGCCUCACAGCAGUAGCUGGCUGAUAACUCCUACAUGGAGAAACCUGCAAACGUGGAAAAGUUUGUUUAUUUAUUAUAGAAUAAACAAAGUGAUGUCAGUACAGGUCCAUCACAUUGUGUCCAAAUAUCAAAACCAAUAUGACAUUCACAAAGUGUUAGAACCUCAGAGUGCUUGUUCAGGGGACAGAUGUUCUCAGAUUGUGGUGGAACAGAAUCCUUGAAAUUGAAGCUUGGUAAAAGUCAGGUUGCCCACAAACUUGGGGAAAAAAAUGGAGGGAAAAAAACAAAACAAAACACAACAUUCUUCCUUUAGCCUGGCCUUUGAGCAAAAACCUUAUUUAAAAACAAACAAACAAACAAAAAAAAAACAUUGAGGGGAAAAAUUCUCCUUACAUUUCUGCAAACCUGAUUUAGACACAUUACUCUGCACUUACAGGUAGGGGAUGGUGCAUAGAGAUCUCUAUAUUCAUGAUUUAUUUAAAUUUGGUCAUUAAUUCAUUGGCAAAGAACAAUAGAGUGUAUUAAACUCUUUUCCUGGAGUUCAGACACAAACAUACAUCCCAUGGGACACUGUUAUUUAUCCAUAGGUUAGAACAAUUUUGUUCUAGUUUGAUAACUGUGGAAUCAAUGAAAAAUGCAGCUUGCAGGAUCACAGGCUAAAGAGGUUAUAUGCUUUCCCAAGAUCAUUUCCUUUUCUGUUUUUUUUUUUUUUUUUUUUUUUUUUUUUUUAAAUGUGCUACUACAAUUUAUUUAGUUUUGUCUAAGUUCCAGAGGCUAUAUUUAUCCUUUGCUUCUCAUAUUUGUGUAUUCGUGUUGUUUUCAGGAAAGUUUAUAUACUUCUAAAAUUGAUGUUUUGGGUGCGUUUGUUAGUCUUUUGUCAAGCAGUUACAUGGGAACAUCUUGCCCUCUAGUGGUAAAGAAAAGCAAGACUAGAUUCAGACUAAAAUCUGAUUAAAAAGGAAUUAAAACCAAUAUGCAGCAUUUACACAGUGAAAAAUCAACUGCACAGAGCAUCACCCUGGGUGCGAGCUAUGCUUCAAGGGUCAGUGAGCCAGCAGAAUUAAUGAGUUUUGAAAAUGUUCUUAUAUACAAGUGAUUAUUUCAUGCACGUAAUGAAAAGUGCUCUAAAGUCUCCAAGCUAAGUGUUUGAAUAUUAAUAAUAAUUUGGGUAAAGUCUUCUUUGUUGUAAAACAAAGAGGCUAAUCAUAACAAAUGCCCUUUAACCUAUUCUGGAAAGCCAACAAGCAUACUACAUCACUAUUGUAAUCAGGCUUUAGAUGGGAAAAAGAAAAGUUUAAAAAAUUCUAGCCAAGAGACUUUUAAAAGGUGCUUUUGAAAAGCCUUACUCUCUGAGAUUAAUGUGUUCAAUACAAAUAUUUUUAAUUCUGCUGGCCAAAUUCAGGGCUCAGCUGAUUUAUGCUACAGUCAGACUUAUUUCUUGGCAUUUGUCUAUUUGCAGUCAGAGAGGCUGUAGAGAAGCUCCAGGAUUGAUGACAUGUUGUUUUGCCACUGAUGACACUUCUGGCUUCCAAAGCACAUGAGGUUCCCUUUUGCUUAUUCCAAAAUAUUUUCAGGUUUGAACAAGCCAGAAAUGGGCUGCAGAGCUGCUGGCCAGCUGCCUCCCACCCAAGCCCUCCUCAUGGCCAUGUCAGCAUGGGGAGAGGUGGCAGUGUUUGUGCACAGCUGAGCAUAGCCAAGGUGUAAAGGUGCUGGGGGCUCCUGAGCCCCACCAAGGGCGAAGGUGGGCCCUGGCAAUGGAGCAGCAGGGCUCACUUCAGGUCCCCGGGGAAGCUUUUCAAGACGCUGGGUGUUUCUGGGCUUAAAGCCACUAAUGGGUGCCUCUGCUCUGAUUAAUGGCAUAUUUUGCUUGUCUGUUUAAGAAGGACACUGGAAAAAGGUAUAAGCCAGUGGUCAGAGAACUGUGGUCACCAAAAGCGUGGGAUGAGUUGGGUUGCUUCAUCUCUUUUUUUACACGUAGUUGAGCAGUAGAUGGUGUACAAAGGAAAUGACAGCUGAGACGGUGAUGCUGUGCUCUGUGGCUUUCAGGAGACCACAGAACUCACAUUCAGUACUUUCCACGCCACGACCUUCAAUAAGGCUUUUAAAAUUUACAUGCAAGGAGAGCUAGUUACAAAGGGAGCUGGAAGGUGGAGGGAGUUCCUCCUCCUUUUUGUUUUUUGUUGAAACUGACUGCUCAGUAGGCUUGGAGCAAACAGCAAGGCCAUGCCCCCAUGUCACAAAAAUACCAACUGUUUUUAGGAAUUACAGGUUACUGAGCUUUGCCUUAGAUUAAUUAUAGUCCUUGUGUUUCCCAUUUUAAAUUGAUGGCGGGCCAAGAUCUGCAACACAGUCCUCUCAUGACACUAUAUCAGGUGCCACGUUUGUAGUAAAUAUAGUAAAUAGUCAUUUUAAGACUUUCUAUGCUGCAUCAUUUUAUUCUAGAAAUGCUUCUUCUCAGCUACUUUUGCUUACAGCAUUGAGCAUAAAAUUUUGUUUUGUGAAUAACAUUUUUCUUUGAUUGCAAUGAAAGGACUGAGGACCUCAGAAAAUAUAGUUUAUUCUCACCUUUCCUUGUCUGACGAACAUGAAUUCUGUUAGGUGCCUGUAGCACCUAACCAUUAAAUGUACCAACCCAUUUAAAAAAAAAAAAAAAA